UGCAUGGUUGUCGUCAGCUCGUGUCGUGAGAUGUUGGGUUAAGUCCCGCAACGAGCGCAACCCUUAAGCUUAGUUGCCAUCAUUAAGUUGGGCACUCUAAGUUGACUGCCGGUGACAAACCGGAGGAAGGUGGGGAUGACGUCAAAUCAUCAUGCCCCUUAUGAUUUGGGCUACACACGUGCUACAAUGGACAAUACAAAGGGCAGCGAAACCGCGAGGUCAAGCAAAUCCCAUAAAGUUGUUCUCAGUUCGGAUUGUAGUCUGCAACUCGACUACAUGAAGCUGGAAUCGCUAGUAAUCGUAGAUCAGCAUGCUACGGUGAAUACGUUCCCGGGUCUUGUACACACCGCCCGUCACACCACGAGAGUUUGUAACACCCGAAGCCGGUGGAGUAACCUUUUAGGAGCUAGCCGUCGAAGGUGGGACAAAUGAUUGGGGUGAAGUCGUAACAAGGUAGCCGUAUCGGAAGGUGCGGCU
rnacentral:rRNA from 1 species